rnacentral:rRNA from 1 species
UGAACGCUGGCGGCGUGCCUAAUACAUGCAAGUCGAGCGAACAGACGAGGAGCUUGCUCCUCUGACGUUAGCGGCGGACGGGUGAGUAACACGUGGAUAACCUACCUAUAAGACUGGGAUAACUUCGGGAAACCGGAGCUAAUACCGGAUAAUAUAUUGAACCGCAUGGUUCAAUAGUGAAAGACGGUUUUGCUGUCACUUAUAGAUGGAUCCGCGCCGCAUUAGCUAGUUGGUAAGGUAACGGCUUACCAAGGCAACGAUGCGUAGCCGACCUGAGAGGGUGAUCGGCCACACUGGAACUGAGACACGGUCCAGACUCCUACGGGAGGCGGCAGUAGGGAAUCUUCCGCAAUGGGCGAAAGCCUGACGGAGCAACGCCGCGUGAGUGAUGAAGGUCUUCGGAUCGUAAAACUCUGUUAUUAGGGAAGAACAAAUGUGUAAGUAACUAUGCACGUCUUGACGGUACCUAAUCAGAAAGCCACGGCUAACUACGUG